GACGAACGCUGGCGGCGUGCUUAACACAUGCAAGUCGAACGGAAAGGCCCUGCUUGCAGGGUACUCGAGUGGCGAACGGGUGAGUAACACGUGGGUGAUCUGCCCUGCACUUCGGGAUAAGCCUGGGAAACUGGGUCUAAUACCGGAUAGGAGCCAUUUUUAGUGUGAUGGUUGGAAAGUUUUUUCGGUGUAGGAUGAGCUCGCGGCCUAUCAGCUUGUUGGUGGGGUAAUGGCCUACCAAGGCGGCGACGGGUAGCCGGCCUGAGAGGGUGGACGGCCACAUUGGGACUGAGAUACGGCCCAGACUCCUACGGGAGGCAGCAGUGGGGAAUAUUGCACAAUGGGCGCAAGCCUGAUGCAGCGACGCCGCGUGGGGGAUGACGGCCUUCGGGUUGUAAACUCCUUUCGCUAGGGACGAAGCUUUUUGUGACGGUACCUAGAUAAGAAGCACCGGCUAAUUACGUG
rnacentral:rRNA from 1 species